rnacentral:rRNA from 1 species
AGUGGGGAAUAUUGGACAAUGGGCGAAAGCCUGAUCCAGCCACGCCGCGUGUGUGAUGAAGGCCUUCGGGUCGUAAAGCACUGUGGAGAGGGAAGAAAAGCAGUAGGUUAAUACCCUGCUGAAUUGACGGUACCUCUUUAGCAAGCACCGGCUAACUCCGUGCCAGCAGCCGCGGUAAUACGGAGGGUGCAAACGUUGCUCGGAAUCAUUGGGCGUAAAGCGCGUGUAGGCGGCCGGCUAAGUCGAGUGUGAAAGCCCUAGGCUUAACCUAGGAAGUGCACUCGAUACUGGUCGGCUCGAGUACGGGAGAGGGUAGUGGAAUUCCCGGUGUAGAGGUGAAAUUCGUAGAUAUCGGGAGGAACACCAGUGGCGAAGGCGGCUACCUGGACCGAUACUGACGCUGAGACGCGAAAGCGUGGGUAGCAAACAGGAUUAGAUACCCUGGUAGUCCACGCUGUAAACGAUGAGUGCUAGGUGUCGCGGGUAUUGACCCCUGCGGCGCCGGAGUUAACGCAUUAAGCACUCCGCCUGGGGAGUACGGCCGCAAGGCUA